rnacentral:sRNA from 1 species
UUUUGUCCUUUUACGGCUUCUUCCCGUCAUUGUCAUGGUGAUUGUCAGCCGUUGUGGCACUGGUGGGAGUGUCACUGAGCAUGAAAAUGAGAUUGUAAUGAAGUUGGAGGCCCUGCAAAGGCCAGGUGGACUUCCACUUAGCAUCCUGCUGGUCUUAGCUGGUUUAACCAAGAGGGGAGCCUCUGACCUCAGGCAUCGGAUUGCUGAAGAUAAGCAGAGUUUGAAUUGUGCAGCUGUUCAGCCAAGCCUACAAGAUGUAUAGUGCUGUGGGGGUAACAUGGCCUCCCUACCCAGCCUCACUUCAGAACUUUUUGUACCAAGGCUGGACUGUAGAAAAGUCCUUCCUAUGCCAUGGCACUUUCCCACUGAGGCCUCCCAUGGGUGCCGUUUCCUUUGCUGGGAGGUUCUCCUCGACUUCUGGCAGUCUAUACUCAUUUAAAGGUUUCCGCCUUCUCUAAAGCCUCUCGCUGCUGGACUUCAUGGUGGAUCAGAUUUCCCUUUUAUAAACAUUCAUAGCAGACUGUACAUUUCUUUCACUGUGUUUACCAAAUGAUUUGAUGACGUUGUAUUUGAUUGCGAAGUGCGUAAGGGCAUGGGCCUUCUCCAUCACUGGCGUUCCUUGCACCACAGGAGCUCAAUCAGUGUUUCUUAAAUGAAUACUUGAAAUUUUGCUUGGUUGUGUAUUCCUGCACAGCAGUGACCUUCAUGGCGUUUGAUGAGGCUUCUCAGAUGCAACAACAAAAGCAUAAGCCACCAAAGGAAAAAAUAAAUCGGACUUCAUCAAAAUUAAACACUUUAGACUUCAAAGGACAUUCUCAAAAAAGUAAAAAACAACCAUAAACUAGCAAAUAAUACAUCUGAUAAGGGCCUAAUAUCCAGAAUAUAUAAAGAAUUAUUACAACUCAACAGUAAAAAGACAAUCCAAUUUUAAAAUGGUUAAAGAAUUUGAAAAAUUUUCCAAACAAAAUUCACAAGUGGCCAGUAAGUGCAUGAAAAGAUGCUCAACGUCAUUAGUCACCAAUGACUUAGUCAGCAAUGACUAAUGCAUCAGUCACUUGAAAUGCAAAUCAGAACCUCUGAGAGCUGCCAGUCCACACCCAGUGGGAUGACUGUAAUCAGAAAGAUGGGCAGCGCCAGUGAGGAUGCAGGGAGACGAGUCUUGUACACAUUGCCAGGGGAACAAAAACAGUGCAGCUGCUGUGCAGAAACGGGAAGGCAGUUCCUCAAAGUUGGACGUAGAGCUACCAUGUGACGCAGCAUUUCCACCCUGAGGGGACACUCAGAAGACAGAGGCAGAUCCCCAGUGACAUCUCUUUCCUGUUGGGGUUUGCUUUUGUCACAGUCUCCAAUAGAGGUCAUCGUUCCUGGUGCCAGACCAGCUACGAUAUUACCAUACAUGUAGCAUUUUACGUGAAUUACAGAGUACUUAUGUGUUUUGUUUGGUUUUCCCAUAGCUCUUUGAAGUCAUAGAACAAUAUUAUUAUUUGUCUCCGUUUUCAGAUGAGGAAAACGAGACCUUGAGAGACUUUUGUUUGAGGUCAUGCACCUAGGGAAUGAUAAAAGUCAUAGACCUGCUUAGAGCAGCUCACAGGCAGUUAUAAAACAGGGUUUGAUAUUUUAAAAUUGUAUUUUUACAUUAUUUUAAGUGUUUCUAUAUGGACAGAUUUUGGUCUUUAAGAGUAAUUUUAUGUUCUGUGGCUUGUAAACCACCUGCUUAUUUUCUGUACUGGGCACUUUUGUAUUUUUGUGCCUUGACUUUGAGUGAUUUUAUCAUUUUGUUAACACCACAGAGUGUUCUUCGUAAACCUAGAUGGCGUGGCCUACUACACACCCCCACUGUGGGGCGCAGCCUGUGGGUCCUAGGCUGCGAGGAGCAAGAGCAGCCUUGUGUGGCUGCACUGAAUGCUGUAGGCAACUGGAACACAGUGGGAAUUAUUUGUGUGUCUAAACAUAUCUAAACACAGAAAAGAUGUAGUAAAAAUACAGUGUGAGAAUCUGUAGGACCCCCAUCUCACAUGUGGUCAUCUGUAGUUGACCGAAGUGUUGUGUAACAUGUGACUAUUUCCAAGUUAAUUGCAGACAGUGGCACACCCUCCCCUAGGUGCUUCAGUUUCUGUUUUUUCAGUCUUUUGAGGUAAAAUUUGCAUGCAGUGAACUACCUACAGUAUUAUCUGUCUGCUUGCUGCUGAGGUAUAGGACACGAUUGCCACCCCAGAAACUUCCCUCAUCCCUCAUGUGGGGCAGGCCCUUUCUGCCGUCUGGAUUUGUUCCACCGUGGGUCAUUUCCUGCCUGUUCGGUGACUUCAUGUAAAUGGAUGCCCACAGUGUGUACUUUUUGUGUCUGCCUUGGUGGGACUCAUCCUCUUUGUGUUUUACUCGUUUGUUUUGUUGUACUGAUGAGAAGGUAUUUUUCCAUUUUUCUUUUCUUUUUUUGUUUUUGUUUUUUGAGACGGAGUCACGCUCUGUCACCCAGGCUGAAGUGCAUUGGCCUGGGUUCGAGUGAUUCUCCUGCCUCAGCCUCCUGAGUGGCUGGGAUUGCAGGCACACAUCACCAUGCCCUAUUGUUCCAUUUUUCAAAAAUGGUUUAUAACAAAUUUUACACAUUGUUGCUGCAAAUGAGGCAGUUUUUAGCUGGUGCCGCGGAGGGAGGAUGUUACUCAAGUAGUUAAUUGGGAUUUUCCUGGUUUUCUUUUUCUUUUAUUUUUACCCAUCAGGUAAGACAUCUUUUUUCAUAAUGUUAUUUUGUUUGAUGAAUAUGACUUGAUAUGAAUAAGUUGAUAUGAAUAUGACUUGAGCUUUGGGACUUUACCUCAAGAUAUUAAUUUGUUUAGGCAGUUUAUUUUGUGAUUUAUAAAUAAAAUUUUGAUUUCCUAUGUAACUUAAAAAAAAUUAUUUCCCCGUAGCCGUGCUGGUAUAGAGGACUCUAAGAAGUGGGGCAUGCUGUUUCUGGUGAACCAGCUGUUUAAAAUCUACUUCAAGAUCAACAAACUCCAUUUAUGUAAACCGCUAAUUAGAGCAAUUGACAGCUCAAACCUGAAAGACGAUUACAGCACUGCACAGAGAGUAACAUACAAAUACUACGUUGGACGCAAGGCCAUGUUUGACAGCGACUUUAAGCAAGCUGAGGAGUACCUGUCGUUUGCCUUUGAGCAUUGUCACCGUUCUAGUCAGAAGAACAAAAGGAUGAUUCUGAUCUAUUUGCUUCCAGUAAAAAUGCUAUUGGGUCACAUGCCCACUGUGGAGCUCCUGAAAAAGUAUCACCUGAUGCAGUUUGCAGAAGUAACCAGAGCUGUGAGCGAGGGCAACCUGCUGCUGCUGCACGAGGCGCUGGCGAAGCACGAGGCCUUCUUCAUUCGCUGCGGGAUCUUCCUCAUCCUGGAGAAGCUGAAGAUCAUCACCUACAGGAACCUCUUUAAGAAAGUGUAUUUGUUACUGAAAACACACCAGCUCUCUCUGGAUGCUUUUCUGGUUGCCCUGAAAUUCAUGCAGGUGGAGGACGUGGACAUUGACGAAGUUCAGUGUAUUCUGGCUAACUUGAUAUACAUGGGCCACAUCAAAGGCUACAUAUCGCAUCAGCAUCAGAAGCUAGUGGUCAGCAAGCAGAACCCAUUUCCUCCACUGUCCACGGUGUGUUGAAAGUACAUGUAGCCCUGAGGACGGCCUGAUGAAAACCUGGAAUUCCUUUUUCACAAAACUCAGCUGGUUCUGGAGUCUUUGUGAAACUUCCUUGAAGGAGGCUUUGCGUGAAGGCAGCUCCGACUCACUUUUCCUAAGUGUGGUUCCUGAAGGCUGUCUUUGUAACUUUUUGUAGUUCUUUGUAUAAAAAGGAUAUUCUGAAUUUAUGCACAUGGCAUGUUCUUCAUUAUAUCUUCCAGGAUACAUCUAUUUUUAUAUAUUAAAUUUGAAUAUGUUAUCAAAAUGCUUGGUUAACUUAAGGCAUCUUUUUAAAAGCAGAAUUUAAUUUGAUUUAAAUUUUCCAGAUUUUAUAGCUUGCCCGUAUGGAUGCUCCUCAAUUUAUGAUGGGGUUACAUCCCAAUAAACUUAUUUUAUUUGCCUUUG